AAACUUAAAGGAAUUGACGGGGCCCGCACAAGCGGUGGAGCAUGUGGUUUAAUUCGACGCAACGCGAAGAACCUUACCAGGGCUUGACAUCCCCUGACCGCGUAUGAAAGUACGUUUUCACCCUCGGGUGACAGGGAGACAGGUGGUGCAUGGUUGUCGUCAGCUCGUGUCGUGAGAUGUUGGGUUAAGUCCCGCAACGAGCGCAACCCCUACGUUUAGUUGCUAACGCGUGAAGGCGAGCACUCUAGACGAACUGCCGUUGACAAAACGGAGGAAGGUGGGGAUGACGUCAAAUCAUCAUGCCCCUUAUGUUCUGGGCUACACACGUGCUACAAUGGCCGGUACAGACGGACGCAAAGCCGCGAGGUGGAGCAAAUCCUAAAAAGCCGGUCUCAGUUCGGAUUGCAGGCUGCAAUUCGCCUGCAUGAAGUCGGAAUCGCUAGUAAUCGCAGGUCAGCAUACUGCGGUGAAUACGUUCCCGGGCCUU
rnacentral:rRNA from 1 species